rnacentral:rRNA from 1 species
UACGGAGGGAGCUAGCGUUGUUCGGAAUUACUGGGCGUAAAGCGCACGUAGGCGGCUAUUCAAGUCAGUGGUGAAAGCCCGAGGCUCAACUUCGGGUCGGCCACUGAUACUGCGGGGCUCGAGUCGACUAGAGGCAGAUGGAAUUCCGGGUGUAGCGGUGGAAUGCGUAGAGAUCCGGAAGAACACCGGUGGCGAAGGCGGUCUGCUGGGCCAAGACUGACGCUGAGGCGCGACAGCGUGGGGAGCAAACAGG